AAGUCGUAACAAGGUUUCCGUAGGUGAACCUGCGGAAGGAUCAUUACAUUCAGUAGCUUGCUACUGUUAGGGAGGCCGGUUAGUCUGUAUAGUAUCACUACUGAUGAGCAGCACGGCCUUCUGUCUGUACCCUUGUCUUUUGCGCACUCAUGUUUCCUCGGCUGGGUUUACGCCCGCCGGCUGGACAACUCUAUAACCUUUUUAAUUUUCAAUCAGCGUCUGAAAACCUAAUAAUUACAACUUUCAACAACGGAUCUCUUGGUUCUG
rnacentral:misc_RNA from 1 species